UGGCUUUUUGUAUAAAUACUGAAAUUUUAGAUGGAGAAGAAGAAGAUUUGGUACCUGCUUGCCAGAAAGGAGAGUGUCUUCGAAGCAGUUAUUUAACAUUCUAACAGCGUGCAGAAAGACAACUGGAAAUCUUGAUAUACACGAGAUGCUAAAAGCACUUUAGCUGCGCCCCCAGUCCUGCUGACCUUGCCGGAAGGUUGGGAGCUUCGCGUCAAGACAGAGAACUGUCGUUCAAUGCCUUAGGCACGGGAGCCUGAGUAUUUCAUCCUUCUCCCCAGUCCAUCC